rnacentral:lncRNA from 1 species
AUGGGGCAGACUCAACGUUCAGGCUGUGGAGGGAGCUCAGCAUGCUGGAAGGUCUGUUGGAUGGAGCAUUUCCUCUUCCCAGAGUCCUGCUGCAGCAAGAACUGCUGGUGUCUGGUUUACCUCCUAGGACUUGUACGGGAAGCAAUACUUUGCAUUCAGGAAGUUGCUCGUUUUGUGAUUAGCAUCGCCAUGGCCCUAGAGGGAAGGGAUGGCACUGUCUGGACAGACUUCAGAUCUGCUGAGGGAACUUGCACCUGAUACUCAGCUUGAGAUCCAGUCUACAAGUAGAAGAGUUGCUGACUCCAAUGAUGACUUUGGGUUUAGGGUCCAAGAGAUGGUGUGCUGUGUGGGGCCACAGAGUCAAAUGAGAGUGUUCAGAAGUACGGUUCACCCAGUAGGUAUGACAUGAGUUUCCAGCCUCAGUUUGACAGGGGAAUGUACAGGUAAGAUUAACUUUAUCAGAUUAUUGUUUAUCCUCUGCAAUGCAUUCAUUUUUUUAUCUAGAGGAUACCAUCCUUAUAUCACACUGCCCAACUCUAUGUAUUCC